UUACAGAAGCUUCUCAGUCUGGACAGCCAUCAGAAAGAAGUGGCUAUGCCACACCCCACUUCUCAGGUAUUGAUUCAGUGUCUGUUGUGGACCCAGAUAUCUAACAUUUUAAUAAGCAUGAUUUAGUGUCUGUCGUGGACACAGAUAUCUACCAUUUUAAUAAGCACUCCCUGCAAAUGUGAUGCAGUAAUGCAUGGCCCUUUCGGGGAAAUGGUCUGAUGGGGAUGGCGUCCAUUUCAGUCCGGGUCAUUUAAAGGAACCCAUGCAGACUUCUGUCAUCUGGGGAGUCUAUGAAUGUCAUUGUUCUACAGUGUGCUGCACUAUGCUGCUACCUGCUCAACAGGAUGUGUUCCUACAAGGCAUCACAGACCAGCUACUGGUCACACGGAUGGGAAGAGAAAAGGAAAUGACUGACCUGAAGAGAACUGACAUUGACAACCUUGAAAAGGAACAAACUUGGAAGAUGAACACCUGACUCCCAAACUCCUUAUAAACAUAGAGAAAUGAAGACAGUGUGCCUCAUUGGAAGUCUGUGCACCAUCUGAGUGAAUACCUAUUGCUCACAGAGGACACCAGAGUUUGAGAUCUCUCAGAACUGGAGUACAGACAGUUGUGAAUCAUCAGCUUGGGUCUAUGUUAACAUCCAUGGUCCACGCUGCCACCAAAGGGCACACAGGAGCCUGGAGUCUGGGCUGUGUCCUCUGGCCUUGUUGGGAUCUGAGCGCUGUGUUGCCAUUGGAGUGACAAUGAUCUGAGAGACCCGAGCUGCCAACCUGGGCCAUGGUGUUGUCCAUGCCUGAGCUGCUGACCAGGGCCAUAUCUGUGACCCAGCAGUAGCCAGGGUCUUUGUCUUCCUGACUCCUGUUACCAUUGAAGGCCAUGCGGAUGCCUGAGGUGUGGGCCACCACCUGAGGCCACGUUGGUGUCCAAAGGCUUUGCUGCAGCUGGUGCCAUCCUGAUCUGUGUGGUCUGUGAAACCACCCGGGAAAUGGUGACAUCAAGGACGAGUUGUUGCCAGGAUCAUGUUGGGUCUAUGGUCCUACCAGAGCUAGGAUAUUUGACUCCAGAAUGAACUCUCUUCUUCCUUCGAGUGUAAACAUAAAGGGAAAUAUCUGCAACCCAGAAGCAGGAGUUUGUAUGGAAGAACCCAGUGUGCUGUGAUGUCUGCCAGACCGGACAGAACAUUGGGACAAAAGGGUGAGUUAGAUCCCUUCCCCCAUCCUUAUCCAUUCAAUAUAAUAACAAUACCUCAUCUUCUGUUCAUUAGCAAUCCUGAGGUUAAACAUGAUCCUGUGUGCAUAAAUGCCUUCUCAUCUCAGCUGGAUAGAAAGACCAAAGCACUUUGGAGUAAGUAUGUUACAGCAGCUAUCCAAGAUCUCCCUGAUAAGAGCUAGAGAGUGGAACUCAAACAUUGUGAUUGCCUGCGAGUCUAACCCUAUUUGAUAUUAUUGUAAUUAUAGCUCCUUCACAAUCACCCCUUGUAAGAACAAAAUCUACAAUACAUUUACUCUAUGUCUAUAGAGGACCACAUCACAUCACUAUGCUUCCUGCUUAAAACAUCACACAGAACUGAGAGAUAUUAAGAGGAAAAUGAAAUUUGUGUUUUGUUUAAUCAUUUUCUGCAUUGAUUUUAUUUUUCCUUCUUCCAGAUAUUUCUAUGUUUCCUCUAUAUGUAGGGAUAGGUCCCGCCCCUUGGGGGGCGUGUUCGCCUCGGGCUAAUGUCUGCCUAUA